UACAGAGGGUGCAAGCGUUGUUCGGAAUUAUUGGGCGUAAAGGGCGCGUAGGCGGUGCGGUAAGUCUGCAGUGAAAUCUCUGGGCUCAACUCAGAGUCUGCUGUGGAAACUGCCGUGCUUGAGGACUGGAGAGGAGACUGGAAUUUACGGUGUAGCGGUGAAAUGCGUAGAUAUCGUAAGGAAGACCAGUGGCGAAGGCGGGUCUCUGGACAGUUCCUGACGCUGAGGCACGAAGGUCAGGGGAGCAAACGGG
rnacentral:rRNA from 1 species